AUAAAUAUAUGUAUAUUGUUUACGUCCGCUAAAGUACUAUAUUUAAUUUUUAAUAACACACAAACGCACAUACAGUUAGUAAGGACAAAGAUAAAGCGGAGGAGUUGUCGUCACUUAGCAGAAAUUAGUAAAAAACAAAGCAAACGCCUCACCUGAUGAAAUUGGUUUUAAAGUUAACGCGCCCAGUUUCAUCAAAGUACAUACAUAUAUACAAAAUUUAAACGCUCUCCUAACAAAUAAAACAACAAUAAUAAUAUGUAUAUGAAAAUAAACGUUUGAUAUAAUAAAAUCCAGUAGCAGUUCAGAUUUUGCACAAUUAGUAAACAAACAAAGAAAAUAGCAAAAAAUAUGCGAAACGUUAUAUAAGAGAGCUUUAAUGUAAUAGAUUUUUAAUAAUAAAAACUUUUUAUAAAUUUGAAGAAAUUACCAAAUUCUGCUGCUUUUUAUAUCAAACUCUUACAAAAGUAAUUGAAUUCGUUAAAAAAUACUUAAUUUGGAAUCCUUUUUUAUGUUUUAUGCAUUGCUAUACUAUUUAUUAAUUAUUUUAUUACAUACAAACAAACACAUACAUAGAUAAAACAACAAAAACGUUGAAACAAACCCUAUUUACAAAAACAGCACACAAAAGCAAUGUUUAACCAACUGUAAAUCCACCAAGCGAAUCUUUAGAAGAAGAACAGAAAAACAUUUGAAACUGAAUUCUUUAUAUGAAAAAAUAUUUAUAAAGUUAAAAUGGUACCAGCAGGCAGACAGUGCGUACAUUUGGUGCCAAUGGACGAUUUUCGUUGUAAAAUCGUUGUAAGUAACUAAUUGUUAAAAUAAAGGUAAAAUAACGUACUAAAUUCACAAGUAUUGUAAAGUCAUAAUUUUGUUCUCGUUUUUGCUUUUAAAAUGAAGCAAAAGCAAACAGCUGAAACCAAAAAUUAGUUAUAGUUUUGCUACGCAAGAAAAUCGUUUAAAUGCAAACAUUUCAUUUCAAAUUGAAAAUGUUUCGCAUUUGAUUUUCUCGUGUGAUCUUUCUUAACUUUAAGCGAUUAUAAAUGAAAAAUAGUUACAAUUAUACAAAUUUAAACGAAGAAAUAAAUGAAGAGUAAAAUAAAA